rnacentral:rRNA from 1 species
UACAUGUGGGGCAAGCGUUGUUCGGAAUUACUGGGCAUAAAGGGUGCGUAGGCGGCCCCUGUAAGUCAGUGCUGAAAUCCCCCGGCUUAACCGGGGUGGUGGCAUUGAUACUGCAGGGCUUGAGUACAGAUGAGGUAGGCGGAAUUGACGGUGUAGCGGUGAAAUGCAUAGAUAUCGUCAAGAACACCGAUAGCGAAGGCAGCUUACUGGGCUGUAACUGACGCUGAUGCACGAAAGUGUGGGGAUCAAACAGG